rnacentral:misc_RNA from 1 species
CACAAAAUUAGUAUAACCACAUUGAACUAACCAAUAUUUCAAAACAUUUAUGUUAUGGAGACUAGACAUGAAAGUAGAAAAGUGGGAUUAUAAUGCAAUAGAUUACUAUUGGGAAACAAAACACUAGCAACUAUAGAUUAAAAACGACGAAAAGGGGGGUUAACCGUGUUAAACAAGAGCUAGAAGAAAACACAGACGAGACGACUAGAGCACUGUGUUAGCUCAGACAUUACCUACGUUACAUUUAAAUCUGAGAUAAACACGUAAAGUACAGAGUCAUGGCACAGGGCAGCACCCAGUCAAGUUUCUUCAGGGAUCGUGAACGAGGGUUAUUUCAACAGAGAGAGCUGGAAAGGCCACUUUCACACUCAUUACAAGACCCCAAAAAAAGAAAGAACAGAAAAACAUGGGAGGCAGUAAGAUUUAGUAGCCGUUUUGCCAUAACUGUUGUUGAGACUGCUUUGGCUGGCCUUGUGAACCAGACAACGAUCCAUCUCGAAGGUUUUCUUGCUGUUGUUGGUCCAACGAGAUACCAGCCUGAGAAUUGUAGAAAUGUGGGUAGCCCCCCAAAGAUCCAUAGCUCUGUGAUGGCUGUUGGCCUUGCCUAAAUCCGCCCGUUUGCUGAUUCUGUCCCUGAAAGCCAUAAUACGUGUUGGCGGGAACAGUUGGCAUUGUUCUUGAACCAUGUCCAUGAAGCCACAAAGCUGAGUUCUCAUUCUGCUGAAGAGACAUCAAAUGAUUGGUAUCCUUGAACUGAGCACUUAAUACAUCAUCGUAACUUAAGUUAGUACCAGAUGGAGCAGCGGGGGGGUUGAUUGGGAAGUUCCCGGGGAUACUUGUUGUAUUUCCAAAAGCACCAUAUCCAGAAGGAAUAGUGGCAGAUUGAGGCAAGCUGCUGGCAGAAACGGUAUUCUUAUAUUGGGGGAGCAUUGCUGCAAGCGACUGAUGGUAACUGCUAUUACCAGGAUAUGCUUGUUGGAAUGCAGAUGGAAUAUAUGAAUAGUUCUGAGGCACAAAGGGAUAACUAAUCAUGUUGCCAUAUGGGGCAAUAGGAACAGCUUGUUGAGAAUAUUGGUGUACAGUUAGGUGUUGUGGUACGCCAGGUCCUGUGGCGACACUAUUUCCAGAAAGCAUCUGCUGAGUAGGCUGUGCUGAUGAAAAGCCAACUGUCUUCAUAGCCUCAGGCAUAGCUGAACCACUGAUUGAUGAAAUUGAGUUGCCAUAUUUUGUGGGCAUUGCUUGUGUUGUAGAAAAAGGAGAAUAUGAAAGCUCAGACUCUCGACCAGGAUGCACGUUAGCAGUCAACAUGUCACUCUGCAAAGAAUUUGUGUAGACUGUCUCAUUUGAGAAAGAAGCAAGAUUUUGCAUAUGAGAACUCGUCUGUGGCUGACUAAACGCUGCAUUCAAUUGUUGAGCACUUUCGUAUGAAUAGCCAGCAGCAGAGGACGGAUAUGAAUAAUGCCCAUCACUAGCUUCUGCUUUCAGAGAUUCUGGUUGUGAAGCUGCUGGCAGUUCAUAAUUUCCAGCAUUUGCAUUAUUUCUGUGGAAUAAAUUACUAUCAGCCUCAUUUCUGAGAGUACCAUCACCAUAGUAUUCAGUGGCCCUGGUGCCCAAGUGCCCAACUGAAGAACUAUCUGCAUCUCUGGAUGCAUCUUCCAAGCUAGUUUUCACGGGGGCAGAGGCCAGUGAUCCAGAGAAGGACACACCACCAAAGCUACCAAAACUUAGGUGUGAGCAGUCAGCUGUUUGAACUUGAAGAUGGUCUGGAAUCACAACAGAUGGACUAUCCCCAUCAGAUGGCAAACCCGCUGCAUCCUUUACACUUAGUUGUUGCAAGUUCGCGGCAACUGAUGAAACUGAGACAUUAACAUCUUCAACUUGUGGAUGGUCAAAAGUGUGAUUCUGGUGCUGAUAUCUGUACGGGUCAUUGUCAUACAGAGAAGUACCAUCAGCAUUAUCCUCCUGCAACUUUCUACUGGAAAGGGAACAAUCAAGAUUUUCAUUAGCACUUUCAUCUGCCUCUUGAGACUCAUCCAUCUGAGUUUGAUGAUCAACUCUGUCAAAAGACAUGUUAGACGGAUCAGGAUGGGGCACAGAAUUAGUGGGAGGCUCCGAGACAGCAGGUUGGCUAGCAGCUGAUGGCUGCUCAAUUGAAGGCCAUUCAUCAUUUGCAGAAAGAUUCUGAGAUGAAUUAUCCCUUGGUUCCUGAUGUACCUCAGGAACCGUCGACUGAUCAUCAGAAAACUGCAUAUUACCAUGUGAUGCGCCAUAAGGAGGUGGUGCCUGAUCAUGGUUUUGGUUGACACCAGCAGUACUGUCAGAUAUAUUGGGUACACUAGGCACUUUACUCUGUGGCCUACCCAUCUUCACAAUAUCAGCCAUUGAUACUUGGCCUGGCACCCCGCCCCAAGUAGGUUGAUAUCCAGAAGAAGGCUGUGAAGCAGCUGAAUGACCAUCAACUGCAGCUGGUGCCAAUCUUUUACUGUCAUUUCCUGCAGCAUCACUGAUGGCAGUUGGUCUCCUAUCUGUGUUGCCUCCUGCAAUUAGAGGGGUAGAAGAGAAGUUGUUUGUUUGUGAUCCACUCUCCUUCCUGUAAGCAGGAGCAGGCUUGGUAGACUCUGAUCCACCACGCCCAACAUAUCGAUCCCCACCAGCCCUACUGCCACGGCUCGAACUGCUACUAGUGAUCCAGGACCUAGAUUCAGUUGGAUCCUUAAUCUCUUUUCUCUUUUCUCUCUUGCUCUUCACCUCAUGAAAAGGAUCUUGAGUAAGAAGCCUGUUAACAGCUUCGUUAGGGUCCAUAUUACACUCU